rnacentral:miRNA from 1 species
AAAUCUGAAAUAUAAUAGAAAUUUUAUAAAUUUAUUUCGUAAAUUAAAUUGUAUAAUUUUUAAAAAUUAAAACGAAUAAUUUCGUUGACAUUAUUAUU